GUGGGGAAUCUUGCGCAAUGGGCGAAAGCCUGACGCAGCCAUGCCGCGUGAAUGAUGAAGGUCUUAGGAUUGUAAAAUUCUUUCACCGGGGACGAUAAUGACGGUACCCGGAGAAGAAGCUCCGGCUAACUUCGUGCCAGCAGCCGCGGUAAUACGAAGGGGGCUAGCGUUGCUCGGAAUUGCUGGGCGUAAAGGGCGCGUAGGCGGACAGCUUAGUCAGAGGUGAAAGCCCAGGGCUCAACCUUGGAAUUGUCUUUGAUACUGGCUGUCUUGAGUUUGGGAGAGGUGAGUGGAACUCCGAGUGUAGAGGUGAAAUUCGUAGAUAUUCGGAAGAACACCAGUGGCGAAGGCGACUCACUGGCCCAAUACUGACGCUGAGGCGCGAAAGCGUGGGGAGCAAACAGGAUUAGAAACCCGGGUAGUCC
rnacentral:rRNA from 1 species